CCCGUUAAGAUCGAGCAAUCGAUCGCUGUUCAAACAUUUCUUCGAUUAUAUGGAAUGGUUCCCUACUCUUGCGCGAGAUUAAAGUUACGCUUUAUACGGUGAAGUUAUUCGUCGAGAGGUUUGAAUGCCGGUCGCAUGUGAAUUCUUAUCUGGAACUCAUAAUAUAGCUCUUUGGAACUUGACGAAACAACGGUGCCAUUACGUUACUGUUGUCGUCUGCCUCAUUUCUCGAAAAAGAAAAAAGGGAAGACGAGACAGUUAUUGCGGCUAUUGAGGAAAAAUGAUGGAAAGAAGAUCGAAGAAUAAUUGGUCGAUCAACGGAGGUGUCAAUGGAAAAAAUAGGUUAUGGAACGUAUAUAAAUUAUCGUCAGGAUCCAGUGCCGCCUCUCCAUAGGCGGAAUCGACAGACGAGCGACCAAGUGUCGAAAAAGUAGAUCAACCAUGUAUUACCCGCUCGUAUAUUAUGUUUAAUGGCGAUCCCUUCUCCUACGUUCUGAGUAAUUUUACGCGAUACUCAAUAUUCGCCGCGGUUAUAUAUGCGGACCUAUCAUGGAAAAAUUGCAUCGAAGGACAGUAUCCUGAGGGGCUGCAUGUUGUGGCAUCGAAUGUUCGAUAAUUUAUGAAAAUGUUUGUAAAAAUUUGUGAUAUAAAUAUUUUAUGAAAAUUUAUUGUUAUUUAUAUUAUAAAUGUUCGUGAAAAAUUUGUGUUAUGGAAUGUUU